rnacentral:rRNA from 1 species
CCUGACUGCUAUCGGAUUGAUACUAAGCCAUGCGAGUCUUUGUAGUAAUACAAGGCAGACGGCUCAGUAACACGUAGUCAACCUACCCUAUGGACAAGAAUAAUCUCGGGAAACUGGGCAUAAUUCUUGAUAGAUCAUAAUGCCUGGAAUGGUUUAUGGUUAAAAUGAUUCGUCGCCAUAGGAUGGGACUGCGGCCUAUCAGCUUGUUGGUGAGGUAAUGGCCCACCAAGGCGAUUACAGGUACGGGCUCUGAGAGGAGAAGCCCGGAGAUGGGUACUGAGACACGGACCCAGGCCCUAUGGGGCGCAGCAGGCGAGAAAACUUUGCAAUGUGCGAAAGCACGACAAGGUUAAUCCGAGUGAUUUCUGCUAAAGAAAUCUUUUGCCAGUCAUAAAACCACUGGUGAAUAAGGGGUGGGCAAGUUCUGGUGUCAGCCGCCGCGGUAAAACCAGCACCUCAAGUGGUCAGGAUGAUUAUUGGGCCUAAAGCAUCCGUAGCCGGCUUUGUUAGUUUUCGGUUAAAUCCAUGUGCUCAACGCAUGGGCUGCCGAAAAUACUGCAUGGCUAGGGAGUGGGAGAGGUAGACGGUACUCAGUAGGAAGGGGUAAAAUCCUUUGAUCUAUUGAUGACCACCUGUGGCGAAGGCGGUCUACCAGAACACGUUCGACGGUGAGGGAUGAAAGCUGGGGGAGCAAACCGGAUUAGAUACCCGGGUAGUCCCAGCUGUAAACGAUGCAGACUCGAUGAUGCAUUGGCAUAAUAGCCAGUGCAGUGUCGCAGGGAAGCCGUUAAGUCUGCCGCCUGGGAAGUACGUACGCAAGUAUGAAACUUAAAGGAAUUGGCGGGGGAGCACCGACAAGGGGUGAAGCCUGCGGUUC